rnacentral:piRNA from 1 species
UGGGACCUCAGUGACAGAAUUCAAUGGGAUGU